CAGCGGGUUCUCUCACACGGGCCCUGGCCCACGGGACCCCGGGCUCCGGCUGCAGCUCGCGUUUCUCCCCGUGCUGUGUCUGUGUCCAUUUUCCCUCCGGCCGGCCCGCACAGCCGAGGGGGAGCUGCUCCUUUGUUGUGGGGGCCCCGGCGGGCGAUCCGCUGCAGAUCCGCUUUUUGUUCCUCCGGCCCCGGCGCGGCGUCUCUGCCGCUCUGGCCCGUGUGUUCCCAGUUCCCUGGGCUCCAGCGGCACAGGCUCGGCCAGUGGAUCCCUGCCCCGCGGCUCCACCCCGUCUUGGAAAAGCCCCUAAUGCUCGGGAAUUGAUUAGAGAAUUCCUAUCUCCGUUACUGUUUAUCUUUACCUGUCGGUAUUUUAUUUGUGGAAAGUUUGUGUGCCCGCCAGCUGUAAUUUCUAACUGGUUCUCACAAUUCCCAACCCCCCGAGGCGUUAACCCUUUAAAAGGACACGGUCAGACCCCCUAUCCUUUGCCAUUCCUCCUGGAUUUCUCCUUGCAAAACAAAUCUGUGAAUUGCAAACCAGAAGAGUCCUCCCCUCAUUCCUUCGCCUGGCCUCAGAGACGCGUGUUCAAAGAAGGGCUGAAAAGCCAAACCCGAGCUGGGGCUCAAACAGCAGCCUUGGUUCGGGCCCCUCCUGGCCCGAGGCAGAGAGGAACACAAAACCGAUCUGAGCUGGCCCGGGAAAUCUCUGGCCGGUGUCAGAUGAUGCCCAGACGUGGGGCCUUCCCCUCACUCCAAGGCAGGGGGCAGAGGACCCACAGAAAGUGAGUUUCUGAUCGCUAUUGGGAUGUCAGUCACCCCAGGAACGUGACUCCGCUGUUUUCAGCCGAAGACUCUUUUGAGGACAGAAGCAAUAACCCCUGCGCACCAAGGGGCUCCUUCUUCAGGUCAGGACGACGCCACAAGCAACGAGAAGACUGAAACCCCCGCGGCGGGAGAGCAGGGAACCAGGAGACCUGAGUGUAAGUCCCAUCUCUCAGGAGAUUUUCUACAGUAGACCCAGAACCAGUGGCACAAAGCAGGUA